UUUAAAUGUCACAUUUUCACACACUUUAAAGAAACACAACAAUAAAUAAUAUUAAAACUAAUUAAAAAAAAAAAAACUAAAAACACUCAUAAAUCAUCACUAAAAAUCUAAUAUAGUUGCUAGUAGCGCCUUUUGAUCCGGUCUUUUGUGUUUUAGCCUUCGUCUCGUUUAGCCUCUCACCAGAUGUGGUGGUUGCUUUAGAUUCUAUCUGGUUCGAUCUCUUGCCGUUUAUCUUGUUCGAGUGUGAUCUGGAUUGAUUUGGUUCUCCUUGUCUCUACUCUAAAGAUCUGGUCCAAAAUCUCAUCUGUUCAUUGGUUGGUUUCUUUCGAGGCGUUAAACAAUCAUAUUCUUUGAUUUCGCCGCUUCCGAGAGUGUUGGUGUGAUAUUGAUGUCUUUGGUCUAGACCCCCUCUUGCCGGUAUGGAUUCCUUAGAACUCGUCUAUGUGAGGUAGUAGUCUUCAUCGUAAUAGGUAGUACCGCUGUCCGUUUGGUUGGAAGUUCCUUACCCCCUACGGAGUGGCUCGUCGUAAAGCUUUUCCUUUAUUUUGUUUGGUAAUGGGAUUGACGAGAUGUUGUGGUUAAAUGUCGGGUUAUAUUGAACUGCUUCUUUGUUUCAAUUUCGGAAUUGUUUUCAUGUUUUUCUAAGGCUUGUUUUACCUUGUUGUUUUCCUUUUCUUUAGGCUUUGCUUCCGAAAUUAUCUCUUUAAUCGUCUGCUUAAGUUUCUGGGGUUAUUUGUUAACCAUCGGCUUAGUGUUUCAUCCUUGUAUUUUAUCUUGAUGGCUAUAAAAAUCUUUCAGACGAAAAAAAAAAAAAUUUGUUAAUAUAUAUACAUCUGCUUUACAAUCAUUGAGUAAAGUUUUUUUUUCAAUCUUCUGCUGCAGUCACAAACGUAAAAUGAUUGCAAGAUCGAAGUUUGUUUACAGACUGAAUUACCCUUGCUAUAAAAUAAGAUUAUCAUCAAAUUUAAUUAGUAUAUAAAGUAGGUUUUGAUAAGAUUCUUUUGUUUUCUUUUUUCUUUAUCACCUCGAGAUUUCCAAUUUUAUUUGAUUAAAUAAAAAGGAUAUAUAAAAAUUAGCCUAAAACUGGCUCCUUUAAUUAUUAUUUUAUCACACAUUUUUAACCAUUUUGAACAUAGUUGCUUCUAUCUACCUAAUUAACUCAAUAAUUAAUUACUAUUAUAUUUCUUUAGAAUGUAAAUGAAAAAUUAUCAUAAAAUAACAUGCAAAUAUUUAUGUUGAUGCAUAAAAAUACAAUAUAUUUUCUUAUUUGUCAAAGA
rnacentral:lncRNA from 1 species